rnacentral:rRNA from 1 species
GUACCCCGGGAGGGGAGUGAAAUGGUACCUGAAACCGUUGGCUGACAAACAGUCAGAGCGUCGUCGUCACCUACGGGUGGCGGCCGUGAUGGCGUGCCUUUUGAAGAAUGAGCCGGCGAGUUACCGUGUGUGGCGAGGUUAACCCGCGAGGGGGAGCCGGAGCGAAAGCGAGUCUGAACAGGGCGUUCAGUCGCAUGCGGUAGACCCGAAGCCGAGUGAUCUAUCCAUGGGCAGGCUGAAGCGGGGGUAAGACCCCGUGGAGGGCCGAACCCACCGUGGUUGAAAACACGGGGGAUGACCUGUGGAUAGGGGUGAAAGGCCAAGCAAACUCGGUGAUAGCUGGUUCUCCCCGAAAUGCAUUUAGGUGCAGCGUCGGGUGUUCAGCAUUGGAGGUAGAGCACUGAAUGGGCUAGGGGGCCUACAAGCUUACCGAACUCAAUCAAACUCCGAAUGCCAAUGCUCCAGAGCCCGGCAGUGAGACCAUGGGGGAUGAGCUUCAUGGUCGAGAGGGAAACAGCCCAGACCGCCAGCUAAGGCCCCAAAUUCUAGGCUAAGUGGGAAACGAUGUGGGACUGCACAGACAGCCAGGAGGUUGGCUUAGAAGCAGCCAUCCUUGAAAGAGUGCGUAAUAGCUCACUGGUCGAGUGGUCCUGCGCGGACAAUGUAACGGGGCUCAAGCCUAGAGCCGAAGCUGCGGAUUUCUGUUUCUGACAGGAGUGGUAGGGGAGCGUCGAUCUUGGAGUGAAGCGGCGGUGGAAACCGGCGUGGACCGAGGUCGAGAGCGAAUGCCGGCAUGAGUAGCGAGAGAGGGGUGAGAAACCCCUCCGCCGAAAGCCCAAGGGUUCCUGGGGAAGGCUAAUCCUCCCAGGGUCAGUCGGGAGCUAAGGCGAGGCCGCAAGGCGUAGUCGAUGCACAACGGGUUGAUAUUCCCGUACCACCGUGUCCGCGCCCAUCCCAAGUCGGGAUCGCUAAGGGGCUGCUCCUUCGGGAGCGAACCGACCCAUCCCGAGGCGGGCAGCAAAGGGGGGACGCAGGAGGGUAGGUGAACCCGGGCGUUGGUUGCCCCGGGGUAAGGAGGUAGGGGGAGGUCCAGGCAAAUCCGGCCCUCACAAACCCCGAGAUCCGAUGCCGAGACGUCUCAGUCGAAGUCACUGAUCCCAUGCUGCCGAGAAAAUCCUCUAGCCAGCUGGCACGGUGCCCGUACCCCAAACCGACGCAGGUGGGCAGGUAGAGAAUACCAAGGCGAUCGGGAAAACAGUGGUUAAGGAACUCGGCAAAAUACCUCCGUAACUUCGGGAGAAGGAGGGCCUCUGUAGGGUGAAGGACUUCGCGUCCUGAGCUCGAAGAGGUCGCAGAAACCAGGGGAAAGCGACUGUUUACUAAAAACACAGGAGCGUGCGAAGUCGCAAGACGAUGUAUACGCUCUGACGCCUGCCCGGUGCCGGAAGGUUACGGGGAAGGGUUAGUCCGCAAGGGCGAAGCUCUGAACCUAAGCCCCGGUAAACGGCGGCCGUAACUAUAACGGUCCUAAGGUAAGAGAACCCGCACGUGCGCGGGUAGUUGCCCCUCGCAGGAGCGAUCCUGUCGAGUGCAGCUGGCCAAAUGCUGGGAACCCCGUGUAUCCGGCGCUACCGGUUGCUGUCAGGCCCCGUCAAUAGGGUCGACGCAGUGAGCGGUGAAAAUGCGACCGGUGCGGACAAUCAGCAGGAAAGGCCAGGAAGUGAGCCGUGGUGGAUCGUCGGAUUCGUCGACGGUGAAGGAUGCUUCGGAGCCAGCAUCGUGCGGGGCUGGGCUGGCAGGUCCAGCCCGAAUUCAGUGUGACGCAGGGCGAGCGUUCGCUCCCGUCACUCGAGUUGCUGAAGGACUACUUCGCCUGCGGAACGAUCAUCCGGAACCAGCGGCACGACAACCAUCGAGAAGCGAUGUACCGCUUCUCGGUCCGUCGUGGCGUCGACCUCCGGAACCGGAUCGUCCCGUUCUUCGAGUCACAUCCGCUGCGGACGGCCAAGCGUGACGAGUUUCGACGCUUCGUGCGGAUCCCCCAACUCAUGGACGAGGGACGUCACCUCGAGCCCAACGGGUUGGGAGACAUCGCACGCGUCGUCGAGACGAUGAAUCACCGCAAGGCUUCACGCUUCCUGGAAUCCUCAGAGGCCAUACGCCAGCCAUCUCAUCUCGACGGAUGAGAUGAAGAUAUGGUCCAAGCCGCAUGGCGACAUGCGGAUAACUUGAGCGAAAUUCCUUGUCGGGUAAGUUCCGACCUGCACGAAUGGCGUAACGACUUUCCUACUGUCUCAACCACUGACCCGGCGAAAUUGAACUACGAGUAAAGAUGCUCGUUAGCUGCGACAGGACGGAAAGACCCCGUGGACCUUUACUACAGCUUGAUGUUGGGUUUUGGUACGGAUUGUGUAGGAUAGGUGGGAGGCUUGGAAGCUCCGGCGUCAGCCGGGGUGGAGCCAACCUUGAAAUACCACCCUGUUCGUGCCGGAGCUCUAACCUGGACCCGUGAUCCGGGUCGGGGACAGCGGCAGGUGGGUAGUUUGACUGGGGCGGUCGCCUCCUAAAGAGUAACGGAGGCGCCCAAAGGUUCCCUCAGGCUGGUUGGCAAUCAGCCGUCGAGUGCAAUGACACAAGGGAGCUUGACUGCGAGACUGACACGUCAAGCAGGUGCGAAAGCAGGGCAUAGUGACCCAGCGGUUGCAUGUGGAAGCGCCGGUGAUCAACGGAUAAAAGGUACCCCGGGGAUAACAGGCUCAUCUCCCCCAAGAGUCCAUAUCGACGGGGAGGUUUGGCACCUCGAUGUCGGCUCGUCGCAUCCUGGGGCCGUAGCAGGUCCCAAGGGUUGGGCUGUUCGCCCAUUAAAGCGGUACGCGAGCUGGGUUUAGAACGUCGUGAGACAGUUCGGUCCCUAUCCGUCGCAGCCGUAGGAGAUCUGAGCAAGGCUGUCCCUAGUACGAGAGGACCGGGACGGACGCAGCUCUCGUGUGCCAGUUGUCCUGCCAAGGGCACGGCUGGUUAGCGACCUGCGGAAGGGAUAAGCGCUGAAAGCAUCUAAGUGCGAAGCUCUUUGCAAGAUGAGAUCUCCCACAGGGUCAACCUGGUAAGGCCCGUGGUUAGAUGACCACGUUGAUAGGCCGGAGGUGUACGCACGGCAACGUGUUCAGCCGACCGGUACUAAUCGGCCGAGGGCUUGGGAACAA